AGUUACGUCAUCUAAGCAUUCAACAAUAAGAAGUGAUGAUAUUCUGCUUAAAGAAUAAGAUGACAAAGAAACCGGCCGUUUGGACCUUAAGGACCUGACGUGAGAAUUUGGUCAGCAAUAUUGCUGGGAACAUGUGAAAAGUGCUGUGAACUUCAAGAAAACCAGGAAGGAAGAGUGCAAGAAAUUUAAAAUAGACAUCUAGCUCCAGACCAUUACUGUGCACAACUCUGGUCACUAGAACAGACUACUCUUUGCCUUUGGUUUUUAUUUUCCCCGUAAGAAAUAAACACUAUUGUAAUUGGUUUGGUUUUAUACAUUUUUUCAAACAAAUAGUUACUUGUUUUAAAUAAAAAGAACAAUACAUUUGGGUUUGUUGAUUUAAAGCACACUGAUAUUUGUCAGACACUGUUGAUGGAGAACGUCACUAACCAUGAGCACAACUCUAUAUGUAUCUCAGGUAUUUUAGUUGUGCAUUGUUAUGGAAACAGAGGUCUAUUGAUUGCAUUCAGAAUUAAAGCACUGCUGUGCUGUUGCAAGCAUACAAUGA